GUCAUGAUGUCCGAGUGGUUAAGGAGUUGCCCUGCUAAGGCAAUGGGCUCUGCCUUCGCAGGUUCGAAUCCUGUUCACGACG
rnacentral:tRNA from 1 species